rnacentral:rRNA from 1 species
CCUACGGGCGGCUGCAGUAAGGAAUAUUGGACAAUGGGCGGAAGCCUGAUCCAGCCAUGCCGCGUGAAGGACGAAGGCGCUCAGCGUUGUAAACUUCUUUUGGAUGGGAACAAUAACCGAGACUUGUCUUGGCUUGAGGGUACCAUCAGAAUAAGCACCGGCUAACUCCGUGCCAGCAGCCGCGGUAAUACGGAGGGUGCAAGCGUUAUCCGGAAUCACUGGGUUUAAAGGGUGCGUAGGCGGCCCGAUAAGUCAGUCGUGAAAUCGCUGGGCUCAACCCAUGCAAUUGCGAUUGAUACUGUUGGACUUGAAUUAGGUUGAGGCUGGCGGAAUGCGACAUGUAGCGGUGAAAUGCUUAGAUAUGUCGCAGAACACCGAUUGCGAAGGCAGCCAGCUGGGCCUAUAUUGACGCUGAGGCACGAAAGCGUGGGGAGCAAACAGGAUUAGAUACCCCAGUAGUC